UGUGUGAAUUAAUACUCAGUCUGACCUGCCCACUGAUAUUUUUAAAGGGCUGCGGUAAUUUGACCGUGCAAAGGUAGCAUAAUCAAUAGUCUUUUAAUUGGAGGCUUGAAUGAAUGGUUUGAUGGAAGAAAAUCUGUCUCUUCAAUUAGGUUGAAUUUAACUUUUGUGUGAAAAGGCAUAAAUGGUUUAAAGUGACGAUAAGACCCUAUAAAAUUUUACGUGUUUUAAUUGUUUGAUUAAAUUGUUUAGUUAAUAAUUAGAUGGUUAGUUGCGUUUUGCUGGGGCGGCAGGAAUAUAAUAUUAACUGUUUUAAGUAUAAAAUAUUUAUAAGUAGAAAAUGGUCCUUUAUUUAAGAGGUGAGAGUAAGUUACUUUAGGGAUAACAGCAUAAUUUCUCUUGAGAGUUCUUAUCGAAGGAGAUAGUUGUGACCUCGAUGUUGAAUUAAAUUAUUCUUUAGGUGCAGGAGUCUAUAGGGAGGGCCUGUUCGGCCUAUAAAAAUUUACGUGAUCUGAGU
rnacentral:rRNA from 1 species